GACGAACGCUGGCGGCGUGCCUAACACAUGCAAGUCGAGCGAAUGAAGUUCCUUCGGGAAUGGAUUUAGCGGCGGACGGGUGAGUAACACGUGGGCAACCUGCCUCAUAGAGGGGAAUAGCCUUCCGAAAGGGAGAUUAAUACCGCAUAAGAUUGUAGUACCGCAUGGUACAGCAAUUAAAGGAGCAAUCCGCUAUGAGAUGGGCCCGCGGCGCAUUGGCUAGUUGGUGAGGUAACGGCUCACCAAGGCGACCAUGCGUAGCCGACCUGAGAGGGUGAUCGGCCACAUUGGGACUGAGACACGGCCCAGACUCCUACGGGAGGCAGCAGUGGGGAAUAUUGCACAAUGGGGGAAACCCUGAUGCAGUAACGCCGCGUGAGUGAUGACGGCCUUCGGGUUGUAAAGCUCUGUCUUCAGGGACGAUAAUGACGGUACCUGAGGAGGAAGCCACGGCUAACUACGUGCCAGCCGCCGCAGUAAUAC
rnacentral:rRNA from 1 species